CGAAAGCGUUUUUAACAGCGCAAAACCCACUGUGAACAUACCUGUUUGUUGCUUCGGCAGGCGGUCCCAGGGCGGGGCCAGCAGCCUGUAUUUUUUUCAGGCGCCUGCCGGAGGCCACUUCAAACUCUUUUGUAUACGUACUGUCUGAGCCUAAAACAAAAUACGUUA
rnacentral:misc_RNA from 1 species